rnacentral:rRNA from 1 species
GACGAACGCUGGCGGCGUGCCUAAUGCAUGCAAGUAGAACGCUGAAGGAGGAGCUUGCUCUUCUGGAUGAGUUGCGAACGGGUGAGUAACGCGUAGGUAACCUGCCUGGUAGCGGGGGAUAACUAUUGGAAACGAUAGCUAAUACCGCAUAAGAGUAGAUGUUGCAUGACAUUUACUUAAAAGGUGCAAUUGCAUCACUACCAGAUGGACCUGCGUUGUAUUAGCUAGUUGGUGGGGUAACGGCUUACCAAGGCGACGAUACAUAGCCGACCUGAGAGGGGGAUCGGCCACACUGGGACUGAGACACGGCCCAGACUCCUACGGGAGGCAGCAGUAGGGAAUCUUCGGCAAUGGACGGAAGUCUGACCGAGCAACGCCGCGUGAGUGAAGAAGGUUUUCGGAUCGUAAAGCUCUGUUGUAAGAGAAGAACGAGUGUGAGAGUGGAAAGUUCACACUGUGACGGUAUCUUACCAGAAAGGGACGGCUAACUACGUG